rnacentral:lncRNA from 1 species
ACAAAAUACUCAAUAAUUAUAUUAAGUAUCAUUGUAAAUUACAAAGAAUUAAAAAUCACAUAAGCAAAUAUCCAAAUUAUACAACACUAUUUUUACAAUUCCUAAAAAGGAAGAGAAGAAUUGUAAGGUGCAAAAAUGGCAACAUCUUCAUACAGCCCCUAGAAAAAUAAAGUUCGUUCCUCUUUGGCUUCAACUUGUUCUUUAACAUGUCAACCGCUUCAACUUGCUCUGCCUCACCAUCUUCAAGGGAAGAUUUAUUAAUUGGUAUAUGGUAGAUAUACCAUUAUUAAGGUAUUUAUUAAUUAUUUGAAGACUAAUGGUAUAUCUACCAUAUACCAAUUAAUCACUAGGAAACCAUGACUACAAAGGAAGUUUGUUAACAUCAGUAAGAGCGAGUUGUCAAUAAAACUGACUCGUACAUUAGUCUUAUCUAUCUUCCAAUUUGCAACUCUAUCUGAGAUCAGGGCUACAUGCUCUACCUUAGCCUUCUCCCUCCUCGUAUCUCCUAGCCUGUCCUCAGUGCUCCUCGACAUCAUGAGGAACUGCUAAGUCCAUUAAGACAUCACACUGUUAGCAAGUUUCUGUAAACAUGGCAAGCCACAUCU